AGAGACUCUUAGGCUGACGAACACAACAAGAAAAAUAGGAGGUUGGAGCACCAUCUCCAUCUAGAUGAGAUUGAAAAGGAAGGAGGCUGGAAAAUCCGUGAACUCAAAUCGAAGACUAUCUUCACGUAACUGCAUAUAAACGAGAUUUUCCUGUUUACUUGUAUGAACUGUUGCUGAUCAAAAUAUUUAAAAAAGAACAAGAAAAGAUAAGAUAAAGACGCGAAUCGUAAAACGUAUACGGACAUAAGUACAAAAACAAAUGUAUAAUAAUGUGUUAAGCAUUACAUAUUUCCGUUCCAUAAAAAUUAUAUAAUUUGAAUACUGUAUUGCAUUGAAUUAUUGACGACAUUUAACUAGGAUGCUAUAGGUACUUCGCGACCUGAUUCCAUGUAAAUAAUAACGGCCCGUUGUAUCAUCAAAAAUGAAUAGUCCGUUCCCGCUACCACCAGGAUUGUUGCAGAAGCCGUCCUCGUGUUCGUCAGCACAAAAAGUGCGAUUUGGUAAUGAUGUGAUUUCAUAAUAGGAUUUAAUUGCGUUAGACAAUCCUUGGAAACAAGUCGCCUGUAAUUUGUAAAUAUAAUAUAAUAUUCAUCUAAUCUUUAUUUGUAAUAUUUGGUUUUAUAAUGAUAGCAUGGAAUUUGUCAAUGUUAUCGUACUGUUAGGGUUUCAAAAUUGUUCGGAAUUUUAUUAUUUUAACCGCGUUCAUGAAAAUUGUUUGUACCAUAUAAUUGACGAUCGCGCUUAUUAAUUACUUAAUCAUUCGAAAAGUCGAUCCUACUCAAGCAUUUUUAUAAAUAUAUUUGUUAUAGAUACAUGCAAUGAAUAUUGUUAUUAUAUCAAUGUGCUACGUUAGUAGUGACGUAAUAGUAACUUAAUGUAACAAAAUCGAACAAAAUCGCAAGUCGUUAUUAAUAAUGCAAGAAUAUUAAAGCACUUCUUGGAUAUAUGUA